AGCAUAUAUACAUCUUGGUUUUGGAAUUUAUGGUUUGAUUACAACAAAUUAGUAUCAGACAUCAUCCUCAAAGACUAAGAUCAACGAAGACAUCUGGAGAACUUCAUCUACAAGAUUUCAAACUAUGAUCUUUGAUCUACAAGGAAAUCAAAUGGGCCUACUUGUUAGAAGAAGAUUGGUAUCAAAAGUUUUC